UUGCACCAACGUCCAUGUAAUACAGUACGUCAAAUACCUCAAAUACCUUAAUGACUGAAUCAAAAACUGACUGGAGUAGAUCAACUUCAGCAAUCCUCACACAAGCAAAGAACAGAUCGCAGGUACAGAUGUCAAGCUACACCCGUGUUGCUGAUCCACUUUUUUCCGAAAUACGCAUCAAUGGAAAGUACCAGUUUCAAGUCGGGGACGUCAUAAAUGUCUCCAUCAUCCUGAAGGACAGAGAGAGCAGGAUGAUUGUCUCAGGAGGAGAUGACAUCAGGAUAUGGAUGAAAACUGCCAAUGGCAGGAACAGAACUUCCGGUCACGUCAUUGAUCACGGAAACGGAGGUUACACGGGAGUUCUACGAGCAUUCUGGGAAUGACAUCCUGUUUUUACGGUAUCCAUUGCCUGGACAAGGCAACUUCUUAACAUCAGAGACAGAUUGCGAUCAUCAAAUGUUCCGUACACAUUCAUAUAUAUGCUUCCUUUGAAAAGGGGUCUCUAAGGGAAGUAACUCUAUGCAAUAUAACCAAGACAACAGAGAACAUGUGUAAUUAUACUGCACAAAAUGGCGGACAUCCAUGGCUGUGUGAAAGACCUAAAACAAAACUUCUUCCUUGUUGGUCGUGGAAAAGCAACCAAUCGGUUGUAGCUGGUGAUUAUCACACACCUGCUGAGAAACAAUUCAUAAAAAGACAUCCUCCUCAUCAGAUUCUCCGGAGAAUUUCAGCGUCCAUAAGUCGAGGUAACUUUCGUCCGGUAACACGGAUCAGCUGUUCGAAACUACCAGCUAGACAAACAUGGAGGGACGACUUUUCUUCGGGGUACAGCUGACAUGAAAGCAACACGCGAGUCUGGCAUCCUCAACUCUGCCGGUACUCGAUGCAGCAUUCAGUACAAGCCUAUAAGCGAUGCCUAACAAACAGGCGCCUGUGGCUGUAUGGAGAUUCCACAACCAGGCAAUGGUUUGAAUAUAUUUCACGUUUCCUUGGGAAGGAAAUGGUUACAUACAGGAAAUACGAGCCGCAAGUAGCUUUUAUGAGUGAUACAAACAGUUCUAUUUUCUGUGGACCCCAUGAAUUUCCUUUCAACACAGGGAAUGGCUGGACUAAUGCAACAUCUAACAAACCCUUGAAACAAUACCUUGAUAAGAUUCCCAACAACUCCAAGGAUAUUAUUUUGGACCUGAUAUUUAUAGAGAUCAUAUUCGCAGGAAUCUCAGAAGCAUCAGAGAAUUUAUUUUCAGGGGCCCAAAAGCUAUCGUGGUUGUCAAAGGGACAAGCACUUUCAGACGUUUUGAAAGAGAUAAAUUCGGAGACAUGAAUGCUAUGUCGUAUGAUCCAAUCUUGAAAGAAGAAUCUUCUUUGAUCAAGGACCGGGUUAUCUUUUUUGAUUUUAUUCAGAUGACCUUAGCAUUCGAAGUUCAAGGCCUCCAUCCCGACAUGGAGGUGGUGAAACUAAUGGUCCAUCACCUGAUGGGGAGUGUGUGUGGAAAAGCCUAGUG